rnacentral:rRNA from 1 species
UACGUAGGGUCCGAGCGUUGUCCGGAAUUAUUGGGCGUAAAGGGCUCGUAGGCGGUUUGUCGCGUCGGGAGUGAAAACUCAGGGCUCAACCCUGAGCGUGCUUCCGAUACGGGCAGACUAGAGGUAUGCAGGGGAGAACGGAAUUCCUGGUGUAGCGGUGGAAUGCGCAGAUAUCAGGAGGAACACCGGUGGCGAAGGCGGUUCUCUGGGCGAUUGACCUGACGCUGAGGAGCGAAAGCAUGGGGAGCGAACAGG